rnacentral:snRNA from 1 species
AUCGCUUCUAGGGCUUUUUGGCUAAGUGUAGUAUCUGUUCUUAUCAGCUUAAUCUCUGGUAUGAUCUUCAUAAAGGUCCUAAGAAGAAUAAACUGAUAGCCGAGCGGUU